rnacentral:ncRNA from 22 species
CAUGUUAACGGGAAUGGAGUUCUCCCGGUAACCGCCUGUCGAUUUUUCAGGCUGAUGACUCCUGUAUGAGG